UGGUUGUUUCCAGCUCAGCCGUGGAUCUACCAGCAAGUUCCAGCUUCUUCCUGGGAGCUAUGGCAACAGCAGACGUCUGAACAUCAGCUGUACAAGUUCUGUUGUCUAGAGACAGAUAAAUAACUGGACUGGACCAGGCAAGUGAGGGUGAAAAGGGAGAGAAAAAUCAAUGACCUUGACCUUUAUUUUAUCAAGAUUGUAUACUAUGUCCCAUCUUUAUUUAGAGAGAUGAUUCAGAUGUUCCUGUACAUUUUUUUCUAACAAUUUCAUUUCCCCCUUGUAUAUUCUUAGGUAAAAAAACAGAGAAAUCUCACCAACAGCCAAAGAAACGUGGACUGGUACCAGGAAAUAUCUGGAAGCAUGAAAAAAAAAAAAAAUCUGUUUUUCUAGUAAUGUUCUUUCUCUGGGCAGUACGUAUGUGUGCCACUAGAUGUCCUGGCAGCAUCAGCUCUUACACCACCGGAGCUACAACACAGGUUGGAAACAUCGGAUGAUUUAUUCUAAAAAACUCCUGUUAGGUAUUUUCUUGGAAUUUGGUGGGGGGUGAGGGAGUUUUUUUGGAUUUUUUUUGUUUUGUUUGUUUGUUUGUUUGUUUUUAAUAUUGUAAUUAUUAUAAUCCUUGUGCACAGACCACCUCGGAAACCUGGGGAGUUCUGACUCCUGCGAAACAGCUGCAGCACAGGCUGUCCUGCAGAUAACAAGUAUCAGGAGCACUUUGACUGCUAGAGUGAUUGAGAAAUUCCCCUAUAAUUCUGAGAUUUGGUUCACCUGCAGAGCCUUUUUUUAGUCUGAGAAUGUUGCUUUGGGGAGCUCCCUUCAGAACCUUCCAUCAGAAGGAGAGUCAUCCUUAGCCCGAGGAAGAUUUCUAGCAAUCAGGGAUUUGUUUUUAUGCAACAGAAUGGAAAUUUUCUGAAGAUCUUUAUUUUUUUUUCAAUAUUUCUUCACCAUCUAUUAUCUACAGGUUAUUGUAGUACCUGUAAGUUCCCCAAUUACCUAUACCAAAUGAACAAAAAGUAGAAUUUAUAGCAUGUUUACUUUAUUUGGCUAUGCGUUUUUCUAAGAAUUUGUAUGUUAAAAUAUGUAUGUACUUAAAUUUACAUCUCUAUCAAGAUACAAAGUGCUUCUGACUGUCAUUAAUAAGCUGUAACAAUAAUUUUCCUUGUGACAUUGAUUUGUUUCAUUGUGUCCACACAAGAUCACUUUGCUGUAAGGCUGCUGCUCCCAGUACAUGCACUUGUUCUUAGGCUGGAUAUCUUUUUUCUUUACUCCUUAAUUGUAAUUAAACAUGUAUUUAGAACUC